rnacentral:other from 1 species
GCGGGGCUGCCAGGUUGGUGAGGCACUUAAACCCCCGGGGCCAAUGAGCAACCUCCGGGGACUGGCGCUGCUCGGGCCGUGGUCCGAGUACCUGGUUCCCACCUGCACCGCAGGUCUCAGGAGGGUUUUCAAGCCCACGGCCAGGGUGGCUCCGCG